UGGAUGGGUGGUGAUCGUGAUGGUGUGUCUCUUUGUUACAUUAAGUAGUUGCUUUCUAAACACAUGACUUAUACCCUUAAUUGAUAGUUGAAAUUGAAACUAAAAAUUAUUACAGAAUUCAAUUCUGAAAAUAGUUUGGACCUGCCUUACGAUGGACUUAGGAUUUAGGAAUUCAUUUUUAUUAUAGGGUGACUUGCAAUAAGAAGGCAGAAAAAGAACAUCAGAAUGCUCCUAAAAGAGAUUGAUAGAAACAGGUGCAUGGAUGGCACAAAAGGAUCAUGCAUCUGAUCCAUUGGGAUGUAAACUAAGUUCAGCUGUAAGAAUAUAUGUGAGAUGAGGUGAAUAGGUUUUCUUAAUUAAAAUUUCUGAUAGAGAUAUUUGAUUUGUUACAAAUGGAACCUCAAGCUAUUCAGGAUUUAUUCUGUGGUCAAUGCACAUAAUAAUGGUGCACCUUCACUUACAAACAUGUGUGAUCAGCCCAAGAUUAGCUUGUCACUUCCACAUGCUUGAGGGGAAGGUGCACUAAAUGAUUUCUCCAAGUUGUCAAGAAGUCUAUAGAUAAUUAUGUUCUUGGGCUUAUUUUUCGUUGGUUGUUUGCACAAUAUCGAAUAUAGGUGGAAGUUGUUGGAUGCAUGAGUUUUCUUGAAUUUCCUUCUCUCAUCCCCACUUCCGUGAGCACUGAGCAGCAAUUUCUUUUUCACUAUGGUAUUUUGCUUUUUUAAUAUCAGCCUGUCUGAUGGUGAAUUGCAGGAAAUCCUCGAGUAACUCCUGAAGUUACAAGGGAUGUUUGCUUACUGGCUAGAAUGAUGGCUGCCAACUUAUAUUUCUCCCAAAUAGAGGAUCUUAUGUUUGAGUUGUCAAUGUGGCGAUGCAAUGACGAACUUCGUGUUCAUGCGGAUGAACUUCAUCGGUCUUCAAGGAAAGAUGCAAAACACUACAUAGGUAUGUAAUUGAUUGGAAUUUGGCAUUUUGAAAAUGUAUGAAAACAUCAUUGUAUCACAAGUUUAUUCUCUAUCCCCUCUGAUUUUAUGUUGAAAAUUUUGUUUAGUUAUGAUGUCAAGAAUGUCAAGUGCCAAAGUUACUAUCACUUCUGAAAGAUUGUAUGCCUUCUUUAAUAAAUUGGGUGGAGAAACAAAUUUCUUCAAUGUGUUUCAAGUUGCUUACUCUAUUGGAUUUGCCUUUGUGGGGUUUAUUAUUAACAUUUGAACUCUAAUUAUUUAUUUGGGGCAUUUUCAAUGCAUUGUGUACACAGAAUUUUGGAAACAGAUUCCUCCAAGUGAACCUUAUCGUGUUAUUCUCGGUGAUGUGAGGGACAAACUUUAUAAUACACGUGAACGCUCUCGUCAUUUAUUAGUCAAUGGUAUUUCUGACAUUCCUGAGGAAGCGACUUUUACUAAUGUUGAGCAGGUCUCUUCUCUCUUUACUUUUUUCUUUUAUACCAUUGAAUUGUAUCUAAUUUUAAGUUAUAUGCAUGUUGAAAAUAAAACUAAUAAAUAUCAGGAAUGUGCAUGGAAAAUAUGAAAAAUCCUUUUCUCCAUAUGAGAAAAAGAAAAAAUAACAUAUAGUAAACAAUAGUUCUGAAAAUGAGCCAGCUUUUAUUUGGAAUAAUUUGCAAAUCACAAAUACUGUAUUUGAUGCUUUUGUUUUGUGAAAUGCAAAGUAUUAUGAGACCAAAUCAAGAUACCAAAAGGAAGCACAGAAACAUGGAAUAACAAGUAAAGAAUUUAUAUCAUAAUAUUUUAGGAGCUAAAGGCAAUUUCUUGUUGCUAUCUUAGAACUUGAAUUGAUCAAGCUUCACUUCAAUGCUGAGGAUUUGAUCAAUAAAAGGUUGCAGAAGCAUUGGAGCAAUGCUGGAGAUUUGGUUAAUAGUUGAUGGGUUACUGAUAAUAUUAUUGAAAUUUGUAAUAAUGAAUUUAUAGGACUUAAAAUGUUGCACUAGAUUUCAGAAGUUCUGCUGGCAUAAAAUCUUUAAUUUAUUAAUUGCCAGUGAUAUAUGUCCAAGUUACUUUCUUUUACAAUCAAAUAUAUGGUGCAUGGCUAUCCUUUUAUGCAUUUAUUGUUAUAAGAUGCAUCUUCGCUUCUUCCCUUUUCCAAGGUAGUUCUGGUUACAUGAAGCAGGGUCCAGGAAGGAAACUCCUGAAUUGGUCUUAUCUUAGCAUGAAAGGCUCCCUAAGGCCUUCUUUUGCAAUUAAUUGUUCAUAACUUGCUUGUUCAAGAAUUUCAUUUGUGCACAGGAUAAUGACACUAUUGCUCAUGGACUUUCUUUUGUUCCUAUAGUUCUUGCAGCCUCUUGAACUCUGUUACAGAUCACUCUGUGCUUGUGGUGAUCGACCUAUUGCAGAUGGAAGCCUUCUUGAUUUCCUACGGCAAGUUUCUACCUUUGGGCUUUCCCUUGUAAGACUUGAUAUCCGACAGGAAUCUGACAGGCAUACUGAUGUUCUUGAUGCUAUUACAAAUCAUUUGGGGAUUGGAUCUUAUCGAGAAUGGUCUGAGGAAUGCAGGCAGGAAUGGCUCUUAUCUGAGCUCAGAGGCAAGCGUCCCCUUUUUGGCCCUGAUCUUCCUAAAACGGAGGAAAUUGCUGAUGUAUUAGACACAUUUCAUGUCAUUGCGGAACUUCCUGCAGACAACUUUGGUGCCUAUAUAAUUUCAAUGGCUACAGCACCAUCUGAUGUACUUGCUGUUGAGCUUUUACAGCGUGAAUGUCAUGUCAAGCAGCCAUUGAGGGUUGUUCCAUUGUUUGAGAAGCUUGCUGAUCUUGAAGCUGCUCCUGCUGCUGUUUCUCGUCUUUUCUCAAUAGAUUGGUAUAGAAACCGGAUCAAUGGGAAGCAAGAAGUCAUGAUAGGGUACUCGGAUUCUGGAAAGGAUGCUGGGCGUCUCUCUGCUGCUUGGCAGCUAUAUAAAUCUCAGGAAGAGCUUGUGAAGGUGGCAAAGCAGUUUGGGGUGAAGCUAACAAUGUUCCAUGGCCGAGGAGGGACAGUCGGAAGAGGAGGAGGGCCCACUCAUCUUGCUAUCUUAUCUCAACCACCUGACACCAUCCAUGGAUCACUUCGUGUGACAGUUCAAGGUGAAGUUAUUGAACAGUCUUUUGGGGAAGAACACUUGUGUUUCAGAACACUCCAGCGUUUUACAGCAGCCACACUUGAACAUGGAAUGCAUCCCCCUGUCUCACCAAAGCCAGAAUGGCGUGCACUUAUGGAUGAGAUGGCAAUUAUUGCCACCAAGGAAUAUCGUUCCAUAGUCUUUCAAGAACCCCGUUUUGUGGAAUACUUUCGCCUUGCAACGCCAGAGUUGGAGUAUGGUCGGAUGAACAUUGGAAGUAGACCAUCUAAAAGGAAGCCAAGUGGUGGGAUUGAAUCACUCCGAGCAAUCCCUUGGAUCUUUGCAUGGACUCAGACAAGGUUUCAUCUGCCUGUCUGGCUUGGCUUUGGGGCAGCAUUUAAGCAUGUCAUUGAGAAGGAUGUAAAGAAUCUUCACAUGCUUCAGGAAAUGUACAAUCAAUGGCCUUUCUUUAGGGUCACAAUUGACUUGGUUGAGAUGGUGUUUGCCAAGGGUGAUCCAGGAAUUGCUGCGUUAUAUGACAAGCUUCUAGUAUCCAAAGAAUUGUGGCCUUUUGGAGAGCGCUUGAGAGCGAACUGUGAAGAAACCAAGCGCCUUCUCCUACAGAUCGCUGGUCAUAAAGAUCUUCUUGAAGGAGACCCAUACCUGAAGCAAAGGCUUCGACUUCGUGAUGCCUAUAUCACAACACUUAAUGUCUGCCAAGCUUACACUUUGAAGCAGAUUCGUGAUCCUGACUACCAUGUAACAGUAAGACCACACUUAUCAAAAGAAUACAUGGAAUCAAGCAAACCAGCUGCGGAGCUUGUCAAGCUUAACCCUACUAGCGAGUAUGCUCCUGGUCUGGAAGAUACCCUCAUUUUGACCAUGAAGGGUAUUGCUGCUGGCAUGCAAAACACUGGUUAAGAUGUAGUAAUGAUGUUAUUUCAGAUUCCAUCAUACAUAUAAAAUAGACUCCACUGAAAAAUAUGAGCUUUGUAUUUAUGGGAUGCUUUGAGCAGCAUCUAAUAAAUCCCUAAAUUAGCUUAGCUCGCUGGAUGUCUUAUUCUUCUUUCUAUUCGUUUUUUUUGCUUUUCAAGAAAAAGAAAGCCUUUAAC
rnacentral:misc_RNA from 1 species